UACCAUGCAAGUCGAACGGUAACAUGAGUGCUUGCACUUGAUGACGAGUGGCGGACGGGUGAGUAAAGUAUGGGGAUCUGCCAGAUGGAGGGGGACAACAGUUGGAAACGACUGCUAAUACCGCAUAAAGUUGAGAGACCAAAGUACGGUUCCGUGAGGACGUGCGCCAUUUGAUGAACCCAUAUGGGAUUAGCUAGUUGGUGAGGUAAUGGCUUACCAAGGCGACGAUCUCUAGCUGGUCUGAGAGGAUGACCAGCCACACUGGAACUGAGACACGGUCCAGACUCCUACGGGAGGCAGCAGUGGGGAAUAUUGCACAAUGGGGGGAACCCUGAUGCAGCCAUGCCGCGUGUAUGAAGAAGGCCUUCGGGUUGUAAAGUACUUUCGGUAGUGAGGAAGUUUUGGGUAUGAAAAGUGCCUAGAAUUGACGUUAGUUACAGAAGAAGCACCGGCUAACUCCGUGCCAGCAGCCGCGGUAAUACGGAGGGUGCGAGCGUUAAUCGGAAUGACUGGGCGUAAAGGGCAUGUAGGCGGAUAAUUAAGUUAGGUGUGAAAUCCCUGGGCUCAACCUAGGAAUUGCAUUUAAAACUGGUUAUCUGGAGUAUUGUAGAGGAAGGUAGAAUUCCACGUGUAGCGGUGAAAUGCGUAGAGAUGUGGAGGAAUACCGGUGGCGAAGGCGGCCUUCUGGACAGAUACUGACGCUGAGAUGCGAAAGCGUGGGGAGCAAACAGGAUUAGAUACCCUGGUAGUCCACGCUGUAAACGAUGUCGAUUUGGAGUUUGUUGCCUAGAGUGAUGGGCUCCGAAGCUAACGCGAUAAAUCGACCGCCUGGGGAGUACGGCCGCAAGGUUAAAACUCAAAUGAAUUGACGGGGGCCCGCACAAGCGGUGGAGCAUGUGGUUUAAUUCGAUGCAACGCGAAGAACC
rnacentral:rRNA from 1 species